rnacentral:piRNA from 1 species
UAGCCCUGCAACCACUCAUCUCUCCGGC